rnacentral:lncRNA from 13 species
AUGCCAGGACAGAAUGGCAGGGAGCGAGGCUGGCAGGCUGUGCAGGGGCACACAGGGUGGCAGCACGUGGUGAAGGUGCAGCAGUCCAGGCCAGACCUCUGUUGCGGCUUUGCACCCUGGCUCCACAGGGCACCCAGGAGGCAGCGGGCACAAUGGGGCUUGAGCUGUGCUCACAAGGGGCUACUACAUGAACCAGAGUGCCCGAUGUUUACUUGCAGUGAACUCAGACCUGCUAACACACCUGGACCACUCUGGUCUCCGCAGAUUCUCCUCCCUGUGGACAGUGCUGCUGAGGGUCCAACGAACAUCAGCAAGCUGCAUGGUUUUCAUUUUGUAGCUGGCUUGGAGAACACUGUAAGGAAACCAGCCUUGGACUCAAACAAGAAGUGAAGGCUUCAGUGAUUUCCUGGGAUCAUCUUCCUCAUGUCCCACCCUGGAUACUCUGGAAAAUACUAGGGGGCAACAGAUGGGUUUUGUGAAAGCCAAUGAGCAAUUUGAAGUGAUUCCUUUUGUAAACCAGCUUAUAUGAAUUUCUGUUGUAGGAAAUGAUACUGAGCUUAUUCCCCUCAUCUGCAUUCUAUCUGAUGAAAAUCAAACACCAUCCCUUUUUGGGGGACAGCAGAAGCCACGAGCUUGAUUCUUACCCCAAAACUAUUUUUAAAAAUAGAAGAUGGACUGGGGGGCAGAGCAAGAUCAUCAAAUAGGAGUCUCCAGCAAUUCUCCUACCUGCAGGAACGCCAAAUUGAACAACCAGCCACACGAAAAAGCACCUUCACAAGACUGGGUGUGGUGGCUCAUGCCUGUAGUCCUAGCACUUUGGGAGGCCAAGGUGGGUGGAUCGCUGGAACCCAGAAGUUUGGGACCAGCCUGGGCAUCAUGGCGAAAUCCUGUCUACAAAAAGAUAGAAAAAUUAGUCAGGCAUGGUGGUGCAUGACUGUAAUCCCAGCUACUUUGGGGGCUGAGACAGGAGGAUCAUUUGAACCCGGGAGUUUGAGGCUGUGGUGAGCUGAGAUCGCAACCCAGACUGGGGGAGACCAGUGAAACUGUCUAAACAAACACCCCCAAAUCAGGUGAGUAACCACAGUACCCAGUUUUAACAUCAGAUUGAGGAAAGAGGCAUUGAAGAGGAUAGAAAAGACAGUCUUGAAUCGCCUAUACCACCCCUCCCUCAUUCCUAGCAGCAGCCACAUGGUGUGGAAAGAAAAUCUGUGUGCUUGAGGGAGGGAGAAUGCAGUGGUUGUGGGACUUUGCGUUGGAACUCAGUGCUGUCCCAUCAGAGUAGAAAGCAGUGUGGGGAAGAACUUGGCCAGCGCCCACAGAGGAAGCAUUUAGACCAGCCCUAGUCAAAGCAGAACCACCCAUCCCAGUGGUGGGAACCUCCUGGAUGACAUUUCUAGACAGACCUUGGGCCAGAAGGGAACCUGUUUCCUUGAAGAAAAGGACCCAGUUCUGGCAGAAUUCAUCACUGGCUGACUACAGAACCCUUGGGCCCUGAAUAAGCAGCAGUGGCAGCCAGGCAAUACUUGCCGUGGCAUUGAGUGAGACCAAGCUGCACCUGCUUCAGGUGUGACCCAGCACAUUCUCAGCUGUGGUAGCUGUGGAGGGACACCCCUUGAGGAAAAGAGAGGAAGAGUAAAGUAGACUUUGUCUUCUAGCUUGGGUGCCAGCUUGGCCACAUGAAGUAGAGCACCAAGCAAACUCCCACAGUCCUGGUUUCCAGGCCUUGGCUCCUAGAUGGCAUUUCUGGGUCUGCCAUGGGUCAGAGGGAGCCUGUGGCCCUGAAGAGAGAGUCAGGCCUGGCAGCAUUCACCACAAGCUGCCUGAAGAGCCACUGGGCCUUGAGUGAGCACUGGUGGUAGCCAGGUACUUCUUACUGCAGGCCCGGGGUGGUGGUGGCCUUUGAGGGAGACUCCUCUGCUUGAGAAAAGGGAAUGGAAGAGUGGAAAGGACUUUGUCUUGUGGCUUGGGUGCCAGGUCAGCUGCAGUAGAAUAGAGUACCAGGUAGAUUCCUGAGGUUUCCAACUCCAGGCGCUGGCUCCUGGGUGGAGCCUAGACCUGUCCAAGGCCAGGGGAGCUCACUCUCCUCAAGAGGACACAAGCCUGGCUGGAUUUGCUGUUGCUGAUUGUAGAGCCCUUGGGCCUUGAGUGAACCUAGGCAAUAGCCAGGCAGUGGUCAGUGUGGAUCUUGGGCAAGACUCAGUGCUGUGCUAGCUCUGGGACUAACCUAGCAUAAUCCCGUUGGUGGUGGCUGCAGAGGUGCUUGUUUCACCCUCCUCCAGCUCCAGGCAGCUCAGUGCAGUAAGAGGGACUCUACUUGUUUAGGAAUAAGUAAGAGAAGAGAACAAGAGUCUCUGCCUGUUACUUCAGGGAAUUCUUUCAGACCUUACCCAAGACCACCAAGAAGAUAACUCUAUGAGUAUGCAAGAACCAUAACACUACCGGGCUUGGGGUGCCCCUAAAGCAGAUAUGGCUGCAGUAAUCAAGACUUGGAUCAAAAUACCUAUGACGCUUAAUACUGAGUGUCAAUUUGAUUGAAGGAUGCAAAGCAUUGUUCCUGGGUGUGUCUGUGACGGUGCUGCCAAAGGAGAUUAACAUUUGAGUCAGUGGCCAGGGAGAGGCAGACCCACCCUCAAUCUGGGUGGGCAGCAUCUAAUCAGUUUCCAGCAAAGCUAGCCUAAAGCAGGCAGAAGAACGUGUAAGGACUUGACCUGCUGAGUGUUCUGGCCUUCAUUUUUUCUCCUGUGCUGGAUGCUUCCUGCCCUUGAAUUUCAGUCUACAAGUUCUUCAGCUUUUGGACUCUUGGACCUACACCGGUGGUUUGCCAGUGGCUCUUGGGCCUUCAGACAUAGACAGAAGGCUGCACUGUCGGCUUCCCUACUUGUGAGGUUUGGGGACUUGGACUGGCUUCCUUACUCCUCAGUAUCAUGGGACUUCACUCUGUGAUUGUGUAAGUCAGGACUCCUUAAUAAACUCCCCUUUAUAUAUACA